UAAGACUUGAAGAAGCUUACAGAGUUAAGGAUUCAGCAGUCAGGGAACACCAAAGAUGGGGCUACUACUAUCAUCAGUACUGGAAGCCUGAAACUCCCUAGCCAAGUGCCAGCUCUUGAUGUUGCUCCCACUUCACAUCCCCCUGUCUGAAGAGUUUUUGUUUUGCUAGCCAUCGAAGAGGGCUAUCCCUUGAGGAACAGAGAUCCCAUGAGCCCUGGGAAUAGCAGUUGUGCAGGAGUAGAGGAGCACUCUUCUAUGCUGCUUACUACUUUGAAGGGGCUGCAGAAUGCAUGAUCCUAGACCUCCAAAAGGCCUCCUCACUUUCUCUGCAAGGUCUGGAGACAUUGAAUGAAAAUAAACAUGUACAAGAAACUGUAGCUGACAGGAGGGUACAAGAAGUUAAGCCAGGUCAGUUAGGCUGUGCCUGAUCUGAGUGUAUUAUAUCCUCAGCAUAAGUAAGCAGUCUUUCCAAGUGGAGGUCAUUCCAGCCCAUUUAAAAAAAAAACAGUCGUCAGUGGUUAGGGACCCAUCUGCAGCUCCGAUUAUAUCAAAAAGAUUGAAAAGGAGACUGGGUGAAGGAGAUGCCAAGGCUAUUGGAGUGAGGAAAGCAGGAAUUACUGGGUGGCUCAGUCCACUUAUGUGAGCUGGUUCACUGGCAGCCUUCCUUUCCCACCAGGAGGGAUAGUGGUGUGAGGGACAAUUGGGUCUAUUCCAGAGCACAUCCUCCCACAAACAGGAAUGAAAAGAAAAUGGCAGUGUGGAGAGAACACUGGGUCCACUCCCUAGCAGUUGAGAUAUUUGGACUCGUUUUGGAUUGUCACCUAGUUUGAUGCACUCAUCCAGCAUGCCUCCUUGCUUUAAAAAGGCUAUUCUCAUACAGAUAAAAUUAAAUUAAAUAAUCUGUUUUUAUUAA